rnacentral:misc_RNA from 1 species
GUGAAUCAUCGAAUCUUUGAACGCACAUUGCGCCCCUUGGUAUUCCGGGGGGCAUGCCUGUUCGAGCGUCAUUACAACCCUCAAGCUAUGCUUGGUGUUGGGCCCUGCCGGCAACGGCUGGCCCUAAAAUCAGUGGCGGCGCCAUCGUGCUCUCAGCGUAGUAAUUCUUCUCGCUGUUGGGUCUCGGUGGACGCUGGCCAGCAACCCCCAAUUUUUCAGGUUGACCUCGGAUCAGGUAGGGAUACCCGCUGAACUUAAGCAUAUCAAUAAGCGGAGGA